UAGAUCUACAAGUCUACAGCAGACGUUAGCUCAGGACAGUUAUUGUAUAAUAAAUAUUCAACUGUUACUGAUGAUCAUUUGAUGUUAAGAGAUAUUGUAAUGGCUAGGAAGAUGCCUAGAAGGUUAUUUGUACAGCCACACACUUCAAUUGAUACUGAUGGUUCUGUUGUUCUUAAUGAGUUUGAUAGUUCAUUUGAAGGAAUCAUUUCCUCAUUUCUAGCAAGAUAUCCUAACUAUGAUACUGAACUGGAGUCUCUUUGGAGAAACGAUCAACAUUAUUGGAAACAAAAAUAGACACAAUACAU